GUGUUAGAGCCUUAUAAGAUUGCCCUAGAUCAUUUCUGAACAACUGUAUUGGUACAGCUGUAAAAAAUAAGGGAGUAAAACCAUAUCUGCAGAUAAUUCCUGUGAUCUAAUCAUCAGUCACAUCAUAGCAAAGUUAAUGCUGCUGUUGCCUUUUUCAACUUCAGAAAAUUGUGUGUUGCUGGACCUAAUAAGAACUGAAAGUGCAGAAGCUAAUAAAUCAACUGAUUAAAGAAGUCAAUGGAAAGAAGAGUGCCAGUGCUGUCAUGAAGGCAGUAGCUAGCACUGGUGGCCUCGUCUUUGUAGCACUGACUAGGAGGAAGCUAUGCUUAUUGCUCACCUUGGUAUUAGUAGCUCCAGGUCUUAGCCUCUACUCAGAUGAAGUCUUAUUUCAUAGGCCUGAGUCUGUUGAGUGGAUGGUCCAAGGCUUCCAUGCCCUGGGAACUCCAGUUUUGGAUUGCGUGUUUUUAAGAAUCGUCUUUAACAUUGGAUCUUUGGAUGUCUCACCUGCCUGGCAACUCCCACUGAGACAGGAGACUCCAAAGUACAACUGUUGUGAGAUGACUCCUCAGUUGAUUUUUGCAUUCUUCUAUAAGGAGUCUUGUGUCUUCAUGCAUGCACUCAGCACAGCAUUUGCUGGUCUACAUUCAACUACACUUGACCAUCGUUUCACCCUUUCUCACAGGCAUUUGAAGAAACAACUUUUGAUCUGUGUCUGUGGGGAAUGGAGGCAAAAUCUUCUCUGUCCUCCUCUCCCCAGUUUGGCUUUCUGUCUUUGCACUGAAGGAAGUUUCUCUUCAGAAGCAGUCCAAGUCUUUUAAAGACUUGUGAUGAGGUUUUCCUGGGAGACCGACCAGGCUUAUGUUAAAGUGCUGUGAUAAUAGUUGAUUGUUAGUAGCAGCAAUCUAAUUGCUCCACCAGGCAGAAAGCAUUCCUGGUUGAGAUACUCUUGAAGGCUAUUUCAACUCCAUAGAUAUCAUCUUGUUUCUACUACAAAAUGGAGCAUGUAACCUGCACUUUAAAUUACAGUGAAAUCCUAUCCACAAACUGGCAGCCAUUCCCCUGACUCUCACACCUUGCUUUUAACAUAUGGGUUGACUGACACCAUCAGAUCAAAUAAUUUUCCAGACUUCUUGCUACAUCCACUGGGCAUCAUUUCUCAUUUAAGAUUCCUGCAGUGAGGCUGUAUCUCCAAUGAUAGUUCAGGUUUUCAUCUGGUGUAAAUUAUCAUAGUUCUAGUCAACUUCAAUGGAUUUGAUAAUUUAUACCAUAUGAGGUUCUGCAUCUGAAAACCAUAUAAUAAAAAGCAGAUGCUAUUUUAACUAAUCUGAAAAAUAAGUGCCUAGUAUUUGCCCAAGCAUAGCUAUUUUAAUACCUGCUACUUACUGCCAGCAGUCAACUGCAUGCUAGAGACUUAAAGUCCUUUGUCCUGUGUCUGAGUAACUGGGAUAGUGUCCUGUAUUUUAUCAAAAUGAAGGUUGAACAGAGACUGCAAAAGCCCUUGACAGCAGCUUUGCUGAGAGACCUGAAAGCCAACACUCCUUUUGCAAAGCCUUUAUACUGACCAUGAUCAUUAUUAUACAUGAUAUUUUAAAGCAGCUGCUUAGCUUUGUCACUUUAAUAUGUUUUCAUUUUGAUUUCUAUAUUCUUCUUCAAGCCACAUGAACAUUGGUUGAUGUUUGGUAUCUAUCUGACCUUGUAAGUAAUAGGAGAUUGCAUGGAUUGCACAUCAACUAUCUAUGUCAAGUAUAUGGUAAGAAUUUGUGAAAUGUUUUAC